AGUUAUUGACUUUGUUAAAAUAUGAGCACAUUGCAGAACACAAUGUUUGUCAUUAUAGUAUGUUAGAGACAUUGUAGAGGAAAAGGCAGGAGGACCUGCGAUUUUGGCUGAAUAUAGAGAUCAUGGAAAACUCACAGACUCAACAAGGCGACACUUAACAUUGUUGUUGCGCACAUUACCGACAAAGAAGGCCAUGUCCCUUCUAAAGAAACAAAGACUCGUUGUGCUUUGGGAAUUGUAACACUGUUCCCAUCCCUUAAGGAUCCAUACUCAAGAACUGGAUAUGAGCAUUUUUAUGACCCUAAGAGCAACCAAGGAUACAUAUCUUGGCGAUUCAAAACAGUUUCUCGGCAAAGCGAACACCACGCCGGACACCACAGUAAGAAGGAUGCUAGGUCAAGCGGAACUUCAGACAUUGAGGGCAGUGGAGGACCAACCGCUCAUAGAGAAACCUGCAACCAUUUGGAACUGCAGUUGGCGGGUGACCAAUGCAAAGAAGCGAUAUAUUUCAUGAAUCAUUGUGCAGAGAAGGACCUGAUUCUUGACAAGAUUCAAGCACAGACAGCUCCUUAUUCAUGAUGCAGCGAAGUCCAAUAUAGUGCUUUCAGUUUUUCCCAGAUUUCUCGACACUAAGAGAUUGAUACUUCAAGAUUUUGACAUCCAAUUUGGAACAGAAACAGCCUCCAGACUUCUUGAACAAUGGGAUAGUCUAAAGCCAAAGAUCAUUGCAGAAGCAACAACGCUUACUUCGACAUUGCAUCUGAACAGCCCGCUUUCAGAUGCCCAGGGUAACAGACAAGACGAGGAUUCACUUUCUGCCUUUGAUGAACUUUUUAAAGCAUACUUUGUCUUUAGCGUGUCUUUAAGUGCAAUGUAUUCAUUCAUCCAGACAACUAUCUACAAGAUAGAUCUUGGUAUAGUAUGUGAAACCCCUAGGGUUAAGGACCUACGAGCUUAACUUUUAAACUAGAUUAAAAAGUUUCGCUUCUUUGUUUGCAAACUGGCACAUUCUAAAAUUUAUAUUGCAAUAAUCGUACAUAUAUACUGUUUAUUUACUGAUUCUUGCACUUAUUCCUGAUGUCAGAAAACAGAGAAGUUAUGC